rnacentral:rRNA from 1 species
UACAGAGGGGGCAAGCGUUGUUCGGAAUUACUGGGCGUAAAGGGCGCGCAGGCGGCUCUGAAAGUCAGAUGUGAAAGCCCCGGGCUUAACCUGGGAAUUGCAUUUGAUACUCUGGAGCUUGAGUGUGGGAGAGGAGAGUGGAAUUCCCAGUGUAGAGGUGAAAUUCGUAGCUAUUGGGAAGAACACCGGUGGCGAAGGCGGCUCUCUGGACCACAACUGACGCUGAGGCGCGAAAGCGUGGGGAGCAAACAGG